rnacentral:lncRNA from 1 species
AUACAAACAACCGAGUAAUUUAUAAGGUCAAAGAUGAAUCAAUUUAAAAGAAAAAAAAAAAAAAUGUUAGCGUGAACGACUAGGUUGUACAAAAUUAUACACAUUUUCAAUACAGUAUCAAUACUAAAUGAGUGUAUAACAACAACUGAGUAAUUUGCAGCUUAUUUACGAAUUAACACAAAAAGAUGAAUAUGUAUACCGAUAGAGAGAAAAAAGGCAUGACUUACUCUCUCUCAAAAAAAAAAAAAAAAAAAAAAUUAUGAACUAUGGAGCCUGAUGGGAUUUUUUAUUAUAUUUUUUUUUAAAUUUCUCUUUAACUCCACUUUGUAAGUAAGAAGAAAUCCUUUUGUUUUUUUUAUUGUUGACCUUUUAACUUCUCUUUAACUCCACUUUGUAAGUUAGAGGAAAUAAUCUUUUUUUUUUAAGUAGAUGGAAAAUUUGUUAGGGUGAGGUUGUCACAAUAGCUUCUAUACAUCAGAUUUACAAAGUUGUUAGCGAAUUGCAAAUGCGUUUUUUUGCUUAUACAGGGUUUUUUUCUUCAGUUUUCUUUAAAAAUGUGGUUUGCUUAAAAUGUCUCGAUUUCAAGCUCAUGCUAAAGUCGAAGAGUAAGGAAAAUUUAAGAGCCUGUCUACACAGCACAAACCCUAAAAGUCAAUAAAUCGAGCAUUCAAGCCAGAUGAUCUGAAUUCACAACUGGUAAUCGUGCGCUAACUACUAGGACUGUCAACAAGUUGCCAUGGCGACACGCAACAAUGGGGUUGGAGUUAUACACCGCGUGGUUUAUGGAAAGAACUAGGUUGUGCUAGCAUGCUACCUCUCCUCUCCUCAUUCUUAAAAUUAUGUAACUUACGAUGGGUACUUUACCUACUUCCUGCGGAUCUAGUUGUUCGAUUUUGUUCGGCUUGCUUAAAUGAGUUCUAGACCUCGUGGAUAGUGAAUGAAGAACAAUUUUUAUGUACCAUGACAGAUCUGUGCAGACCAUCAAGAAUGACUCCGGGGCUCGUUAAUAAAAGUCAUGAUAAUGAAAACGAUUUCAGAGGUUGGAACUUGGACAGUGUGCCGACAUUUUUGUACGCAGCUCAAAAUUUACAGAGCCUAUACUUGGCAAACAAUAACAUUGAUCAGCUUCCUGCCGGCUUUUUUGGACAUUUUCCUCACUUAAGGUGGUUUGAUUUGAGGAAUAACAAACUGAAAACCUUUCCAACGACUGUCAAGGACCACCGAACUCUUGAAACUUUGCUGCUGGAUGACAACCAACUUUCUGCCCUCCCGAUGGAGUUAGACAUGGAAUGCAACUCAGAGGAAACUCUUUUGCCUUCGCGACUCAAAAGGAAAAAGAACGUCACAAAAAAAAUUACAUCAAGAAGAAUCAAGUCAGCUAAAACUCCAUUAUUGGCUAUUGAGCACUACGUGAGGGUCAAAAAGUUGCUAAAAGCAAAACCGGAGACAAACUUAAAUUUAUUUGAAUUUUGGGACCAACUGACACCCUCUCAUUUAAUGGUAAGAAAACCAGCCCUUAUCAAAAUUUAUGAUGAGUAUUAUUUAUAGGUGUUCGAACUGAUAGACAAGUCCCUCAUACUUGAGGUGCUCAGCUUAUUAUAGAACU